AGUGAACGCUGGCGGUAGGCCUAACACAUGCAAGUCGAACGGCAGCACAGAGGAGCUUGCUCCUUGGGUGGCGAGUGGCGGACGGGUGAGGAAUACAUCGGAAUCUACUCUGUCGUGGGGGAUAACGUAGGGAAACUUACGCUAAUACCGCAUACGACCUACGGGUGAAAGCAGGGGAGCUUCGGACCUUGCGCGAUUGAAUGAGCCGAUGUGGGAGUAGCUAGUUGGCGGGGUAAAGGCCCACCAAGGCGACGAUCCGUAGCUGGUCUGAGAGGAUGAUCAGCCACACUGGAACUGAGACACGGUCCAGACUCCUACGGGAGGCAGCAGUGGGGAAUAUUGGACAAUGGGCGCAAGCCUGAUCCAGCCAUACCGCGUGGGUGAAGAAGGCCUUCGGGUUGUAAAGCCCUUUUGUUGGGAAAGAAAUCCAUCUGGUUAAUACCCGGGUGGGAUGACGGUACCCAAAGAAUAAGCACCGGCUAACUUCGUGCCAGCCGCCGCCGUAA
rnacentral:rRNA from 1 species